UACGUAGGGUCCGAGCGUUGUCCGGAUUUAUUGGGCGUAAAGAGCUCGUAGGCGGUUCCGUAAGUCGGAUGUGAAAACUCGGGGCUCAACCCCGAGACGCCAUCCGAUACUGCGGUGACUUGAGUCUGGUAGGGGAACACGGAAUUCCUGGUGUAGCGGUGAAAUGCGCAGAUAUCAGGAGGAACACCGGUGGCGAAGGCGGUUCUCUGGGCAUUACCUGACGCUGAGGAGCGAAAGUGUGGGGAGCGAACAGG
rnacentral:rRNA from 1 species